rnacentral:rRNA from 1 species
UGGGGAAUAUUGCACAAUGGGCGAAAGCCUGAUGCAGCAACGCCGCGUGAGUGAUGAAGGUCUUCGGAUUGUAAAGCUCUGUCUUUUGGGACGAUAAUGACGGUACCAAAGGAGGAAGCCACGGCUAACUACGUGCCAGCAGCCGCGGUAAUACGUAGGUGGCGAGCGUUGUCCGGAUUUACUGGGCGUAAAGGGUGCGUAGGCGGAUGUUUAAGUGAGAUGUGAAAUACCCGGGCUUAACUUGGGUGCUGCAUUUCAAACUGGAUAUCUAGAGUGCAGGAGAGGAGAAUGGAAUUCCUAGUGUAGCGGUGAAAAUGCGUAGAGAUUAGGAAGAACACCAGUGGCGAAGGCGAUUCUCUGGACUGUAACUGACGCUGAGGCACGAAAAGCGUGGGUAGCAAACAGGAUUAG